UACGAAGGGUGCAAGCGUUACUCAGAAUUACUGGGCGUAAAGCGUGCGUAGGUGGUUUGUUAAGUCUGAUGUGAAAGCCCUGGGCUCAACCUGGGAAUUGCAUUGGAUACUGGCAGGCUAGAGUGCGGUAGAGGAUGGCGGAAUUCCCGGUGUAGCAGUGAAAUGCGUAGAGAUCGGGAGGAACAUCUGUGGCGAAGGCGGCCAUCUGGACCAGCACUGACACUGAGGCACGAAAGCGUGGGGAGCAAACAGG
rnacentral:rRNA from 1 species